GGACCCAUAGCACAACUGGUAGUGCAACGGACUCCAAAUCCGCAGGUUGGGCGUUCAAGUCGCUCUGGGUUCA